rnacentral:lncRNA from 1 species
UUUUUUUGGCUGUUGUUUGGUCUUUUCAGGGCCACACCUGUGGCAUGUGGAGGUUCCUAGGCCAGGGGUUGAGUUGGAGAUAUAGCUGCUGGUCUACACCACAGCUCACAGCAAUGCUGGAUCCUUAACCCACUGAUCAAGGCCUAGGAUGGAACCUGAGUCCUCAUGGAUACUAGUCAUUACCACAGAGCCACAAUGGGAACUCCUCUUUUUACUUCUUUUUUUUUUAAUAGUUGAUGUACAGUGUUCUGUCAAUUUCUGCUGUACAGCAGAGUGACCCAGUUAUACAUGUAUAUACAUUCUUUUUUCCACAUUACCUUCCAUCAUGAUCUAUCACAAGUGAUUAGAUAUAUAUCCUGGGAUAAACUGUCAUGGAAAAGAAUGUAAAAAAGAAUGUAUAUAUGUGUAUAACUGAGUCAUUUUGCUGUACAACAGAUAUGAACACAACAUUGUGAAUCAACGGUACUUCAAUUUAAAAAUGAACUUAUUUGGGGCACAAAGAGAAAUUAUUUGCCCAAGAAUACAUGGCUGGUGGGUGACAGAGUUAGGAUUCAAAUGGAAGCAGUCUGGCCCCAGAGUUUCCCUAAAAAAAUAAAUAAAUAAACAUGUUUCAUAUUGUAUUUUACACUUAGUGAUGAUAUGCAAUUACUAAGCUAAAAAUGAUCUUUUCAUUUGCUAAAAAUUAGUCAAUUAUACAAACGCUUUGUUUAUCAGGCGAUUGUUUUUCUUUUUAGAACUUAUUUGUCUAAAAUAAAUAUAAUUACUAUAAAAAAGAAUUAAAAAAACAAGACAAUUAGCAAUUCAAUUAAAAGAUGGGCAAGGAAUUCCCUCUGUGGCACAGUGGCUAAUGAUCCAGCCUGUCUCUUUGGAGGUGCGGGUUUGAUCCCCUGCCCAGUGCAGUGGGUUAAGGAUCCAGCAUUGCCACAGUUGUGAUAUAGGUCACAGCUGCGGUUUGGAUUCGAUCCCUGGCCUGGGAACUUCCAUAUGCCACGAGGGUGGCCAGAAAAGGGAAAAAAAAUAUAUAUAUAUAUGAAAAAAAAAAUAUAUAUAUAUAAAAGUGGGCAAAAGCCUCAAACAGUUAUCUCACCAAAGAAGAUACAUAGAUGACACAUAAUUAUAUGAAAAGAUGCUUAACAUCUUAUGUCACUAGGGAACUGCAAAUGAAAACACAAAUGAGAAACCACUUGCAUUGGGAAAAGCUCACAGUCCUCCUCAUGGAUGUCUUUCCCCUUUAUUCCUACACUACUACCUCACUCACAACACUUGUGACACCAAACAUGUGUGAUUUUUCCCCACCCCAAGCAAUUCUGUAACAUCAGCUGGGCGUCCUGCAAUUUGACUCAAUUGUGACAUCAUCCACCUGGAUGUAGCAUCAGAUCCCACAGAUCAAGGACUCAGUCCCACGAGACUGCCCUCCCCAGAUGCCACUUGCAAGUAGUCGGUCCCCAUGUGCCCACAACUUCUGUCCCACCUAGUUACAAACCAGAGGUUCCCAGGAUUCCCGCCUCCUUUGGAUGCAAUUCAUUCACUAGAGCAGCUCACAAGACUCCGGGAAACAUUUGCUUAGGUUUACCAGUUUGUUAAAGGAUAUGAUAAAGGAUACAAAUGAACAGCCAGAUGGUUGGAAGGAUCCUGAGCCGAGCUGGUGCAUCACCCUCCUUGUAAGUCAAUGCGUUCACCAUCUGGGAAGCUCCCCAACCCCGUGCUGUUGGGAUUUUUCCCGGAGGUGUCCUCCUGUGGGCAUGCUCCAUGAUUAAUGCCAUUGCCAGCCUGGCUCCCCUUUCUAGAGAAUGGGGAGAUGCGGCUGAAAAUUCCAAGCUUCUAAUCCUGGUGUGGUCUUUCUGGCGGCCAACCCCUAUCCUGAGGCCAUCCAGGAGCCCACCCAGCACUUGCCUUAUUAGAACAAAAGACCCUCCUAUCACCCAGGAAAUUCCAAGGGAUUUAGGUUGUGUCAGGAACCGGGGUCAAAGACCAGAUAUUAGAACAAAAGAUGCUCCUAGAGCUUUUACCACUUAGGAAAUUACAAAAUUACUCCGCGCAGGGGCAGAGACCCAUGCAAUGUAUACUUUUUCUAUUAUUUCACACACUACUAUGCACGGAUUAGAAAUCCAGAACAAUGACACCACCAAACGCUGGCGCGGGUGUGAAGCAACAGGAACUCUCAUUCAUCGGUGCUGGAAAUGCGAAAUGGCACAACCACAUUGACGACACUUUGAUGGUUUCUUAACAAAACGAAACCUACUCUUAGCAUCCAAUCCAGCAGUUGUGCUCCUUGGUAUGUACCUAAAUGAACUGAAAACUUAUGUCCACAUCAAAGUCUGUACAUGGAUGUUUACAGCAGCUUUAUUCAUAACUGUCCAAUCUGGGAAGCAAGAUGUCCCUUCAGCGGGUGGAUGGAUAAAUAAACUGUGGUACAUGAAGACAGUGGAAUAUUAUUCAGUACAAAAAGCGGGGUGGGGGGGAAAUCAUUAAGCCAUGGGAAGACACAGAGGACUCUUAAAUGCAUGCAUAUCACCAAGUGAAAGAGGCCAAUCUGGAUACUAGUUUGUUUUUGUUUUUGUUUUUGUUUUAGGGCCACACCCUUGGCAUGUGGAAGUUCCCAGGCUACGGAACUUUUCCAAGUUGAAUUGGAGCUGCAGCUGCUGGCCACUGCCACAGGCACAGCAACUCAGGGUCCAAGCCGCAUCUGAGACCUAUACCACAGCUCACAGCAGGGUGAGAUCCUCAAUCCACUGAGCAAGGCCAAGGAUUGAACUCGCAUCCUCACGGAUACUCAUCAGGUUUGUUACCACCGAGCCACAACAGGAACCCAAAAAAAAAAAAUCUUUUUUUGUUUUUUGUUUGUGUUUUGGGGUUAAAAGAACACCGUGGAGGCAGUGGGUUAAGAAUCUCACUACAGCAGCUCAGGUUACCACAGAGGCAUGCAUUUGAUCCCUGGCUCAGCGCAGUGGAUUGAAAGGAUCAGCAUUGCUGCAGCUUUGGCAUAGGUUGCAGUCAUGGCUUAGAUUCAGUCUCUGGCCUGGGAACUAACAUAGAUCACAAGUGCGGCCAUAAAUUUAAAAAAAAAACCGUUUUUAUAAAUGUGUAUUUCUUAUUGUAAAACUCAUGAUAGAAAACUUUAACAUAUAGAAAUGUAGAGAAAGCAAAAAAUCACCUAUAAUCCCAUUAUCUGGAGAUAACAGAGGUCACCUUGAAUUAUGAGACCUUGGGUGAUUUUCCUUUCUUUCUGUGCUCUAGUGUUUGUAGAUUUUUCUAGUCCUGGUAAAAACUUAAAUAUACUUAAAAGAAUUCUCUUCAGGAGUCACUUCUAAGGCAACCAUGAGCUUUUCUGUGGGAUCAUCCGAAACCUCUAGUUUGAAUGGAUCUCUCAUCCUUGUCUGUACUCUAAUUUUUUGGUCUGGGUUAGCAUAGGAUGCAGCUUUCUUUGUAUGCUUAUUAAAUGAGUACUUGCAUUUUCCUCAUUCCCGGAAGGCAGGGAAAAGUCUUACCCAUUUUUAUAUCCUGCCCCACCCUUUCCCUCACCUAGAGUCCAGAAAUGGAUUUUUAUUUAUUUAUUUAUUUAUUUUGCUUUUCUAAGGUCGAACCCCGCAAGGCAUAUGGAGGUUCCCAGGCUAGGGGUCCAAUCGGAAUUACAGCUGCCGGCCUACACCACAACCACAGCAACGCCAGAUCCCAGCCCCAUCUCUGAUCUAUACCACAGCUCACGGCAACACCAGAUCCUUAAUCCACUGAGUAAGGCCAGGAAUCAAACUCGAGUCCUCAUGGAUACCAGUCGGGUUCAUUACCGCUAAGCCACAAUGGGAACUCCUACAAAUUUUCUGAUGAAAGGUCUGUGCCAAUGUCCCCUGCCAUUAUCCUCAUCUAUCCCUGUUCCAGCCAACAGGAUGGAUGUUUUUUUUUUCCAGCUGUGCCCACAGCAUGUGGCCAGGGAUCAAACCUGUGCCACAGCAGAGACAAGGCUGGAUCCUUAACGCGAUUUAGGCCACCAGGGAACUCCAGCAUCUGUUUGCUUUUAGGGAAAGUUGGAGGCCGUAAAUCUCUCCAACUUCCGAGCUGGAAAGCUGCUCCAUCUCUCCCUCCCACAGACCAGGACACAAAGGGUGGAGCAUUUUCUCCAGAAGGGCCCCAGUCAUAAUGCACCUUUGUAUGAAGCAGCAACCUUUGCACUAUCUCC